rnacentral:miRNA from 1 species
UUCUUAGUAUAAGUGUGUCCCAUAAUUUUGUCCCAAAAAUAAAGUGGGCUAUUUGGGACAUAAUUAUAUUACAA